rnacentral:tmRNA from 1 species
GUGCUUGCAAAUCUUCCUCGGGCCGCCUAUCUCAGAUGUGCUCCUUCGGGGGCUAUGAACAUAAACGCGCUCAUAAUAAGCGGAUCGGACCCGGGGGCGGUACCCGGCGUCUCCACCAAUCAACCUUCAUUUGGGGUCGGAUGGGGACGAAAUAGGAUCGACGAACGUCUAAAGGGGUUAGCUUUGUUUCGGCUGUCUGCCACCGUUAUCGGCGAAACUUGUACAAUUGCAAAUGACAAUCGUGCUCCAGUAGCAAUGGCCGCGUAAGCGGUCGGAGAUACUGAAACUUAAGUCCUAUCGCUAGCUGCUUUAGGCGGGGUUUGCAGGUACCUGGCAACAGAAACCUGCGCU